rnacentral:lncRNA from 1 species
AAGGGCGCCAAAAACGGCGAAGCUAAAUUAUCGACGUGUCAGUCAUUAUCUACAAUCUUAGCUAGCUGCUAAUAUCAGUGCAGACAUGCUUCCCAGUCUCAAUAAGGAGGAUUUACGUGAUCUCUUUCCCGGACCAGAGCACUUCUUCAGAAGGAGAACCAUUUGGCGACUUAAUCAUGGUGAAAAUUAGGGUUAAGAAUCAGACCUGUGUAGACCAGUCACCUCCUCUGGGACCUAUGAUUUCAGCCCCACUCCCACCCCCUUUCCCUCCUCCUCCUCCACCCCCUUCCACUCUCUACUGCCCCCCCAUCCCCCCACCCCUCUCCAAACCCAAGAGACCAACAUGGUGCCACCAGAACUGUACAGCUUGUCAGCCCACAGUAUGUCAUAUACACAGACACAGAGUUGGAGCAAUCAAGAAUAACCUUUUUUGAAAAACAGCGUGCUGGACAAGGAGACUAUAUCCUUUCCAAAGAUCUUCGCUGUUGAUUAAUCAGGAAUACAGUAACAAGCAUGAUUUCCAUUGAGAGAGCGGCAGGGGAUGACUUCCAGUAUCCAUGCAGCCGUGAACUCAUUGUAAUGGUGAAGCGUCUCAUAGACUACUACCCAAUGCUGCGGGACAGAUCUGCAACCAGUGGAGCUGAGUGGGUCACUUCUCAGUAUUGGGUAGUAGUCACUUCUCAGGUAUUCAACACAUGUUUCCAAACACAGCACUGUUGGAUACCUGGCAACCAAAGUGCAAACAUCUGACACUCAAAAUAGCAGGGAUGUGCUUCAUCCAGAUCAAUCAGGGAAACAUGUGUCUGCUUGUAUCGUUUCAUUUCUGUGGAAUAUGUUUAUGAUGUACAGGAUCAGGGCAGCAAAUACAUACUCCUCUGGAUCCAGGGCAUACUUCUGCCUGCCCAUUACCAGCUGGCAGUCAAUCACCAGGAGGGAAAAGGUGAUGGAGGAAAGAAAGGGUUUAGGGUGCAAUAGAUGGAGGUAUUCAUUCUGGCUACAAGGCUGCAUAAACAGAAAGAACCUAAUAAAAGGAGAUAUAACAUUGAGUGAGUUCUAUAUCAGUGAGAAGGGCAGGGCUCCCAGAGAUCCAUAGACUAUCUGCAGCACAUUGGAGUAGUAGAAACAGCAGAAGAAGCUGAACAUGAGAAGGUCCACUGCCCCAGCACCAGCAGGAUGCCAUUACAACGCGUGAAGUCCACGCUUUGUAAUGUCUGCAGACCAAAGAGAGGAGUGAGUAACUUUUAUUUCUGAAUUCCAAAGCGACCCUGGGCAAUAUGGUAUUUGUUGUCCAAUAAGCUAGGUCACCGGGGGGUCAGCCUGACCACAAACUGAUGUGGUAUGGUCGAUUUGGAAUUAAGCAUAAUAUCAUGUUUUUAGUGAUUUGAAAAAAACAGUCUGACCUGGGCUGAGAAGAUGAUGAUGGUGAAGGAGAUGACCACUGUUGCUCCCAUGGCGAUGACUACAGCAGUGGUGUCGGGGAAUGAGGCCACAGUGCUGACCAUGUAGGAAAGGCUGAGAGCGACCACUGACUAGAGGCAGUAUGCACACCAUAACACUUAAAAUACCACUCACUCAAUCCCAAAUCUCACUUUAUCCUAUCAUUGUGUUCAAGUAGUGAUAGAAUCAAAGCAAGAUCAAAGACGGUUGUUCUCAUUAGUCAUGCAACUAAGUUCUAGGAGAAUGUAUUUGGCAUUAGCCAAUAGGGAACUGUGAAUACAGUAAGGUACACUUAUAAGCAUCACCGGUAACUUCACUUUUUAAAUAAUGUGUAUGAACACAUCUAAAAAAAAACUAUUGUAUAGUUUAUAUCUAUAAGUGAACAGAUAAACCUAGAGCUCAAUUAAGUCUAACCCACACUUCAGUAUUACUUAGUGACUUUGCAUGGGCCAGUUUGUCAGUCGCUGGUCUAGCUAGUUGUGAUGGGGUUGUGUUUAUGUGUUUGUGCGUGCGUGUGACCCACCAGGUUCCAGGGAUGGCUACUGCUAAAUGAGCUGCAGCAGAUGAGGCAGAUGGCCACUGAAGUAAACAGGAUGGAGGAGCUGAGGUUUUUGUCCUGCUGAAAGGUGAAUUCAUCUCCCAGUGUCUGGUGAAAAGGAGACUGAACCAGGCUUUUCUCAAGGAUUUUGCCUGUGUUUAGAUGCAUUUCGUUUAUUUCCCUAGUCCUUAACGAUUGCAAGAAUACCCAUAUAACAUGAUGCAGCCACCAAAAAGUGAAUUAUUUUGCUAUUUUUUUUGUUGAAAACAGGAUGCAUGUUUUGGAGUAUUUUUAUUCUGUACAGGCUUCCUUUUCACUCACUGGAGUAACUACAAUAUUGAUGAUCCAUCCUCUGUUAUCUCCUAUUACAGCCAUUAAACUCUAACUGUUUUAAAGUCACCAUAGGCCUCAUGGUUAAAUCCCUGAGCGGUUUCCUUCCUCUCCGGCAACUGAGUUAGGAAGGACACCUGUAUCUUUAG